GGAACCAUCAGUAUCCCUCAGCCAGCCAACGGUGGAGGUAAAAUCGUAGCUUACAAGGCUAAUUUAAAUAUUCAACCAACAUGACUGGACAUUUUCAUAGUUUGUCGGAUUGAAUGUUUGUGUGUUUCUAUCCGAGUAGAGACAAGCAGAGCAGUGGAACGAAACGUGAACUAGGCGUGGAAGACCAACACUGAUGAACACGGGUGAAGAAAGAACAAGAACAAAGAGUGAAAGAAGGAAAACAGAAUAAUCACGAAAAGUUGUAAGACAAAAGUGGAUAAUGAUAAUGGAAGAAUAAAAUUGAAUGAACGUAGUGAAAGAAAGAAAUUUGCAAAUAUAAUAAUUGAAGAAAACAGCAGAAUAAAGAUGAUGUAAAACAAAUUAAACUAAAUAAACAUUGUAGAAGAACGAAACUUAAGAGAAAUAACACAAAUUAAUAAAGACAGUGGAAGUGACUGAAUAAAUAACGUGAAAGAAAAAACCUAAAUAAACAGUGUAAAAGAAAACAGAGUAAGAAAAACAGAAUAAAUGCAUUGGAAAAAAACAA